AUCUGCGGCCAUACCACCCUGGACACACCUGAUCUUGUCUGAUCUUGGCAGCUAAGCAGGGUCUGGCCCAGUUAAUACUUGGAUGGAAGAAACAACUUUGCACAACAGUUC
ensembl:rRNA 5S_rRNA 5S ribosomal RNA